rnacentral:rRNA from 1 species
UGGGGAAUUUUGGACAAUGGGCGAAAGCCUGAUCCAGCAAUGCCGCGUGUGUGAAGAAGGCCUUCGGGUUGUAAAGCACUUUUGUCCGGAAAGAAAUGGCUCUGGUUAAUACCUGGGGUCGAUGACGGUACCGGAAGAAUAAGGACCGGCUAACUACGUGCCAGCAGCCGCGGUAAUACGUAGGGUCCAAGCGUUAAUCGGAAUUACUGGGCGUAAAGCGUGCGCAGGCGGUUGUGCAAGACCGAUGUGAAAUCCCCGAGCUUAACUUGGGAAUUGCAUUGGUGACUGCACGGCUAGAGUGUGUCAGAGGGGGGUAGAAUUCCACGUGUAGCAGUGAAAUGCGUAGAGGUGUGGAGGAAUACCGAUGGCGAAGGCAGCCCCCUGGGAUAACACUGACGCUCAUGCACGAAAGCGUGGGGAGCAAACAGG